rnacentral:rRNA from 1 species
AACGGGUGCGUAACACGUAGGUAAUCUGCCCAUGAGACCGGGACAACCUGGCGAAAGUCGGGCUAAUACUGGAUAAGACCACAAUAUAAUUUAUCGUGGUAAAAGGUGACCUCUUCUUGAAAGUUAUCACUUAUGGAUGAGCCUGCGUACCAUUAGCUUGUUGGUGGGGUAAAAGCCUACCAAGGCUACGAUGGUUAGCUGAUCUCAGAGGAUGAUCAGCCACACUGGAACUGAAACACGGUCCAGACUCC